rnacentral:rRNA from 1 species
UCUGACGUCAGUGAAUCAUCGAAUCUUUGAACGCAGAUUGCGCCUGAGCGUGAGUUCAGGCAUGCCUCUUUCAGUGUCUGUUCCAUUUUACUCCUUUUUGCUUUCCAGCAAGAAGGGAGACUGGGCCUCUUGAUUGUCAAAGUCAAGUUGCCUCAAGUGACGCGAUGCUCAAACCGAAGUGGUUGGGAGAAGCAUGACACACGAGUUAUAGGCGUUACUGCCUCUUGUUCCUGUGUUCCGCUUUUCGCUUGCAGCCCACCUCACCUUGUAACAUCGACGAUGGACGAUUAAGUUCGUCAUUUUACAACACAUCAUCACAAUUGACCUGAAAUGAGGUAAGAGGACCCGCUGAAUUUAAGCAUAUCAAUAAGCGGAGG